UCAAAUGACAAGUUUGUAAGUGCAAUUCAUAGAUUUGUAGCAACUAAGGUAGGACCAAGGAUUUCUGUGGCAUGCUUCUUCAGUUCGGUAUCUCCAAAGAUGUUUGGUCCAAUCAAAGAGCUCAUAUCGGAAGAAAAGCCCCCACUAUAUAAAGACUUUCUAGUAGCUGAUUAUCUUGCUAAAUUUUUCUCCAAACCUCUUGAUAAGACUGGUCUUGAUCUUUUCAGACUGUGAAUAGAGACCGAGCACAACGUCACCAAGCAGCAGCAAAAACUAUCAGAAAAGACUAUCAUCAUUCAGACAGAACAAUGUCAGAGUUUGUGGUAAAUCUCAAGAACAAACUCCCUUAUGUGUCCUUCAAUUUGUUCCUCUAAUAAUGCAUGUACUAUUUCUCCUAGUAUCCCUAGCUAUCUUAUUUUCGCUACUUCAAUUGUAAUUCUGUCGUUGAAGUAUCAAUUUCAUUGCUAUUUGUUACAGUUUUCCACUUCAAUCCCUCUCUGUUGAGUGUUAUUGCCAAUUAUCCACAAUAAUACAUUAACAUAUCUUAAACUCCAAUUUUUUUUAUAAUCCAAACUAUUUUCCUUUUAUUUCACCUUAUACUUAGGCCUUUUGAGAUAGUAUAGGGACAUUUUCGGCCCUUUUCAGUUUACAGAAUUAUGAUUCAAAAAAUCAUAAUAUAUAAUUGAUAAAUUAAUUUAGUGAAGUCAAACUUCAUUAAUUUUCGACUAUAGUUAUAGAGAACUAUAAAUGGCUGGUAUAAUUGAUUAAUAGUAUCCAAAAGGAUCCACAAUAACUUGUUAUAUAUGGAUAUUUAGCUGACUUUACAUGUUUAUUUGAUCAAUCAAUUAAUAAUUAGGAGGAACUGGUCUCACAUCUUGAUUGUUAUGAUAAUGUACCACAGAAUUUAUGUACUUGCUCAAGAUCAGAACGAGCUUGUCUGCUGACCACUAUCGUCCCAUUUUGGAGCGCAACCAUCUUGUCCGUUGAACUAGCUAGAAGCUAUCAAUUUAGAUUGAAAUGGAUUAUGAUCCAUCGGAUGAGAGAAAGGCUAUUGAUGAUACAAAAGCUGGUGUUAAGGGACUACUUGACUCUGGAAUAGUCGAGAUUCCAAGACUUUUCAUUAGGCCACCUCAUGAACUUGCUGAUGAGUUGAAUAUGUGCAAGUCAACUCUACAGGUUCCAGUCGUGGAUCUAAGUGGCAUAGAGGUUGAAGAUCGGCGUAAGAAGAUUGUUGAUGAAAUAAGGGAAGCAUAUGAGAAAUGGGGAUUUUUCCAACUGAUAAAUCAUAGGAUUCCUUCAAGUAGUUUGGAAGGAAUGAUCGAUGGGACUCGUAAAUCUCAUGAACAAGAUGCUGAAGUGAAGAAAGAGUACUAUUCGUCUGAUGCAACAGCCAUAAGAGUUUGUUGGAAUGUAUGCGUCCACUAUUAGUCUACGGAUCAGGUCCCUUGACUCAGCAAGAACAGUAGCUGAAGUAAAGAUGCGGAAAAUACAUAGCACAAUAUAAAGACAGGCACAAGAGUUUUACGUGGAAACCUCCUUGCUCACGAAUUUAUUUACUUUUAAAAAAAAGAAAAUGUAUAUAAAGAUAAAGACCCAAAAAAAGAAGAAGAUAAAAUCUAAUAAAUUCCAUGUUUAUCUAACUUCCCAUUUAAAUUUGAAAAUUUGCUUAAAGGAUAAUCAAAUACGGUUUAAUUUAAAUCUGGAAAAAAAAAAACAUAUCUAAAAAUGGUUUUUUUCAAAUAUGUAACCACCUUUUAUUUUUGAAUUUGUCACGCCCCGAGCCUACACCCUGGACGUGGCCGGCACUCGAAGACCAUUGCUGGCCCCCAAGCGAACCCUUGGCCUGACUUUCUUAACUCAGCGGAAACCUACUCAACAGAAUAACUCAAUGCCAUGCAAAGACAUAACCAACUUAAAUGAUACACAUUUGGCCAAAAAGGCAACUCGAGUCUCAAAAUAGAAUAUUACAUAUAUACAUAAAUGAGAGUCUCAAAACUAACUGACUGACUGUCUAUAAAGCCUCUAAAAUACUGAGAUGGAUGUUGAGACAGACCCCACAACAUCCUAAUAAAACAAAACUAAGAGAACAAAAUAACCGAGUCCUCCGGAAUGCAAAAAGGCUCACCACUGACUCUGAAGUACUCAGCUGGAUCAAUGACGAACCGGAUACUGACCCUGGGUACCUGCGUCUGCAUCGUCAUAAGAUGCAGGUCAACUAGCAUCAGUACAUUGAAUGUACGAGUAUGCGAGUUGGAAAGCUAAACCACAACUUAAGCUUGAAAGGAGUACAAAGGAACUCUUACCUUGGCUCUGUUCAACUCAUAAAUAACUGAACUCAAUAUAUAAAGCAAUAAGACACAUGCAAUAUAUAAAGCUUGUAAAACUAUUAAAACAUGACUUAAAAUCAUAUUUAUAAUAUCAUAAAAAUACCAUGCUGCCUCUCAAAGUCUACUUGUGCAAUGCAUGAAUGAAGUCCCAUACCCCCAUCCACACUAAGCAGAACUUCUCAAGGAACCAUGCACUUUCUACUGCUACGGGAGUUUCUCUAACCGACAACCACCACUAUGAAACUAAGUGGUGAUACAACGUUUUACCUCACGUUGCCCAAGGACCAUCCUAUACCUUGCCAUCGAUAUAGGACCUUACUUUAACUUUUGCUUAAUGGAUCCACUAGCUUAACUUUCGUGAUCAUCUAAAAAGUAUGAUCCGACAAAUCCCAUGGUUGGCUACAUGGUUCUUAUGGAGAGUUGAGUUAAUAAGAACUCGUGUCCCCAAUUCGGUGCUCAAGACUACUCCCAAAAAUACUUUAGCUUCUUUGGGAAUACAUAGUUCCCUAAUAACUUUUGAGAAAUGAACUCAACUCUAUACUCUUGACUUAACUUGAAACUCUUGACUCCUUACUCUUUACUUGACUUGAAACUUGAGCCUUAAAAUGAAGUUAAAACAUUCAAUAAAGACUCUUGAACAACUUUAAAGACUUGCUUUGACUCACUUCUUUAACUUCUAGACUUAACUCUUAACUUCACUUGACUUGGAAAUUAACUCUCCUUGAAUUGGAAUUAUGGAUUCAAGGUGUUUGAUCACAUGUUAUGGACGAGUUCUUGACAUUUAGACGUACCUUGGAGCGUUGAAAACAACUAUGAAACAUAGGUACAAUACCAAGGAACAUGCAUGAGAAAGUGUGAAAAGAAUGGGGAAACUUGGCAUCCUUCACGCUUUGCAAGGCGCGGAGCGCCAGCCCUCGAAGCUCAAUAGGACUGCUGGGGCGCACUGCUAGGCGCGGCGCCCCAAGGGAGAAAGCUCAAAAGCUCUUUUGGGGUGCGCUGGAAGGCGCGACACACCACCCCUUUCCCCAGAAAACUCUACUUUUCUUCUUCAUUUUUCCAACUGUAAACCUCCUUAACUUCAUUGGUUCCAGCCCCAAACACUUAUAAUCAUAAACCCUUCAACAUACAAUAGAUUUCAACUCAAAAACACAACCGGAAACAAGUCCCAAAUCAACAAGGACUUCAACACAAUCACAACCAACAACUUCAACAAAUACAACCAACAGCUUCAAGAAACAUAAUCAAUCUUUUCUCGGAAUUGAAUGAGUUUGGCGUGUGGGGGAAAGAACCAACCCAACACUAUGAUCUCACAUACCUAAUAGGGAUCACCCCCGACGAUAUCCACGACGAUCCUUAACGAAACCUUGUUUGAUCUUCUCUUUCUCCUCUUCUUCUCCUCUUCACUCACAAACCCUCACUCUCACUCUUUAAAAUGAGAAAAACUGAUCAAAAUCAGUCUAACACACUAAUAUAUAUCCAACAGAAAAGGCUAGGGAAAAGACCAAAAAUACCCUUACAAAUUUCCGGACAGACUUCCCUGCCAACUGCCCAACUUCCAAGGCAUAACUCACUCAUACGAACUCGAAAUCGAGCAAACUCAGCGGCAUUGGAAAGACCAUUCCACGAAAUUUGCAAACAUAACUGGAACUACACCUAACUCAUCCUGAGCUAGGAGUUAUAACUGUUCAAAGUUGGCCAAAAACUCAUUUUUUUCCCAUACUUAACCAAAUUUCCAGAUCUUUAAUUCCUUCCAAAAAAAAUGACUAUUUCCAAUUCUAAGCCUCUUCAUAGUUAUUUCAAAUUGCCAGAUGUUACANNNNNNNNNNNNNNNNNNNNNNNNNNNNNNNNNNNNNNNNNNNNNNNNNNNNNNNNNNCCACCUACUUUAUCCAUUUGCUUCAUUCAUUCUAUAAAUAAAUGUCUUCUUUUUUCAGAAAAAAAUUAUUUAUCCUUUAGAACAAUCAUUUUUCAGAGUGAGAAAUUCAUCUUCAAUGCAUAAAUGUAUUGCUUCAAGCAGUGAAUUAUCAUAUGCAUUAAUUUAAAAUCAGGUAUGAAAAACUAUCCAAGAUUUUUUUAAAUUACAUACCAAAAAUGUGGACUUCUAUCAACUAUCAAUAUGGUUGAUAGUUGUUACAAUUGAUUAAUUAUUUAUUGUCUAUUGUUCUUCUUCUAAUAAAAUAAUAGUUUGAAAGGAAAAAUUGUUGUAUAAAGGAGUAUGGGUGGUCGUUGAUUAUUUAUAUUAUAAUUAUUAUAAUUAUAAUAAAUAUAAUUCUUUAUUUAUCCUGUGAGUUUCUAAUAUAAAAAAUUACCAUGCACUAAAACUGUUUUGUAUCUUGCAGAUUUGAGUUGAUGUGAUCCCCGUAACAUGAAAAUGUCAAGUUGAAAGUGGUGGCGUGUGUGUGUGUGUGUUUGUGUGUAUAUUGUUUUUGUGAGGAAAUCUACUAUGUCAUUUGUUAAAUUUACAAGUACUAAUUUUUCAGACUUAUUUUAAUUAAAGAAGAAAAGUUUUACAAUUUAUGGGGAAAAAGUCAUUCUAAUGAUAAGAUUGUACAAUUGAAUUCACGCUACAUAAAAUAAAAUUAAGAAGAAUCAAAACAAUUUUAAGCAACACAUUACCAUUUUAAAUAUUAAUAUAAAUAUAUCAAUAAAAUUGUCAUGAGGUACAAUGUGUUGUAUUCAAUGGUAAAAUUGAAGGAAGAAGUCAUUAACAUUCUUGCUAAGAGUAGGCAAAUCUGAUGUUCACUUCAUAUUACUUUCAAAUUUACAUUUUAAGAGAUUGUGCUAUCGUAUUUUUCAUGUAGGAAANNNNNNNNNNNNNNNNNNNNNNNNNNNNNNNNNNNNNNNNNNNNNNNNNNNNNNNNNNNNNNNNNNNNNNNNNNNNNNNNNNNNNNNNNNNNNNNNNNNNNNNNNNNNNNNNNNNNNNNNNNNNNNNNNNNNNNNNNNNNNNNNNNNNNNNNNNNNNNNNNNNNNNNNNNNNNNNNNNNNNNNNNNNNNNNNNNNNNNNNNNNNNNNNNNNNNNNNNNNNNNNNNNNNNNNNNNNNNNNNNNNNNNNNNNNNNNNNNNNNNNNNNNNNNNNNNNNNNNNNNNNNNNNNNNNNNNNNNNNNNNNNNNNNNNNNNNNNNNNNNNNNNNNNNNNNNNNNNNNNNNNNNNNNNNNNNNNNNNNNNNNNNNNNNNNNNNNNNNNNNNNNNNNNNNNNNNNNNNNNNNNNNNNNNNNNNNNNNNNNNNNNNNNNNNNNNNNNNNNNNNNNNNNNNNNNNNNNNNNNNNNNNNNNNNNNNNNNNNAAAUUUCUUCUUCUUUUUUUAAAAUUUAAUAACUCAAAUUUAUUAUUUAUUAUAAAUUAUAAUAAUAAAUUGAAUUUAAAAAAUAAUAAUUCCUCUUUAGCCAAAAUAAUAAAUUAAAUAAUUUUAAAAUAAUAAUUUAUUUUAAUAUAUAGGCUAACUUAGAAUAAGAAGUAUUCCCUAUUAUAUCUUUUAAUAAUCGUGUAAACUAAAUUGUCAUAAUGUAAAAUUAUUAUAGUAUAAAUAAAAUAUAAUAUUAAAGCUAACGUUGAAUUGUACAUACAAAAUAAAAGACAUAUGGACAAUUUUAUAAAUAUAUGGCUUAUCUUACUAUACUAGAAAUUACAUUUGCAAAUGGAAUAAAAUGAAUGAGAUUCACGUUGAUAAAAGUUUAGGAUGUAGAUUAGUGAGAACGUAUAUAGUCAAGCUUAAUUUGUGUUGUAAUUCUUAUUUCUUUAGCAAUUUAACAAGCUCAGAAGAUUUCAAUAUAAUGAAUGAUAACUUGCAAAGUGUUAUUUUUAGAUUUUCAUCUUGAUCAACUUUAUUUUAUCAUUUCAAAAUUUUCAUUCUAUCAUAUAAAAUCUCUCCACAUGUAUUUUUGAUAUCAUUGCUUUCAAAUUUUGAAUUAAAAUUGAUUUGAAAUGAAUUACCAUGUAUGUUUUCACGUUAUAUUCAUAAUAUCAUGUUGGUGACGUUUAUAAUGUCUAAACUUUUUCUAAUUAAUAUUAUAAAAAAUAUAUUAAUUAUUUAUAGAAAAUUAAUUUAAAAUUUUUAAAACUAUAUCCUACUGUUAUAUACAUGCACUUUUGUUACUCAAUAAUAAUAAUUCAUAUUAAUUAUUUUUAAGUUUAAAAAUUAUUAUAUUUUAAAAUAUCCUCGCAACGCGCGGAUAUGUAUACUAGUAUAAGUAAUCAUUUCAUCUCCGAGUAAUAUUCAUCUAUUUCUCUGGCGAUAUCCACUUGUAAGUUCUUCUUACUUAAUUAUUAUUGUCUUGCUCUAGAUCUCUUCAUCUCACUUUAGCGGUUUGUAAAUUUAAUUUUCAAUUUCAACUCGUUUUAAAACUUUUUAUGUACAUUUACUUGUUUUAAAACUUUUUAUGUACAUUUAUCAUAAUAUAUAAUUGAUAAAUUAAUUUAGUGAAGUCAAACUUCAUUAAUUUUCGACUAUAGUUAUAGAGAACUAUAAAUGGCUGGUAUAAUUGAUUAACAGUAUCCAAAAGGAUCCACAAUAACUUGUUAUAUAAGGAUAUUUAGCUGACUUUACAUGUUUAUUUGAUCAAUCAAUUAAUAAUUAGGAGGAAUUGGUCUCACAUCUUGAUUGUUAUGAUAAUGUACCAUAGAAUUUCUAUGUACUUGCUCAAGAUCAGAACGAGCUUGUCUGCUGACCACUAUCAUCCCAUUUUGGAGUGCAACCAUCUUGUCCGUUGAACUAGCUAGAAGCUAUCAAUUCAGAUUGAAAUGGAUUAUGAUCCAUCGGAUGAGAGAAAGGCUAUUGAUGAUACAAAAGUUGGUGUUAAGGGACUAGUUGACUCUGGAAUAGACGAGAUUCCAAGACUUUUCAUUAGGCCACCUCAUGAACUUGCUGAUGAGUUGAAUAUGUGCAAGUCAACUCUACAGGUUCCAGUCGUGGAUCUAAGUGGCAUAGAGGUUGAAGAUCGGCGUAAGAAGAUUGUUGAUGAAAUAAGGGAAGCAUCUGAGAAAUGGGGAUUUUUCCAACUGAUAAAUCAUGGGAUUCCUUCAAGUAGUUUGGAAGGAAUGAUCGAUGGGACUCAUAAAUCUCAUGAACAAGAUGUUGAAGUGAAGAAAGAGUACUAUUCGUCUGAUCCAACAGCCAGAAGAGUUUGUUGGAAUGUAUGGGUCCACUAUCAGUCAACGGACCAGGUCCCUUGACUCAGCAAGAACAGUAGCUAAAGUAAAGAUGCGGGAAAUACAUAGCACAAUAUAAAGACAGGCAUAAGAGUUUUACGUGGAAACCUCCUUGCUCAAGGGAGUAAAACCACGACUUGUCACACAGGAUUUUCCAACUGUUUUCACUAAUCUUCUCAAGCAAAGGUGAAACACAGAUACAACAUCAAAUGAGAUUAAGCCAUUAAUCUCAAAGCUAAGUAAUAACCCAAUUACUUACUGAGCCUAAGCAGAUACCACACUGCCUACUAAGUUGUCAACCCUAGACAACUUAAAUUUCAACUAAGCAGAUACCACACUGCCCACUAAAUCAGUUAACUCCUAGAUGACUUAGAAUUUGACUAAGGAGAUACAAAACUGCCCACUAAAUUAGUUAACUCUAACCGAUUUGGACUUUUACAAACCGAACAAAAGAUUUGAAUACUUCAUAGAUUACAAACAAAUUUACAAUGUAAGCACGGAAGUAUAACUCCUAAGACAACUAUGACACUUGCAGCUUGAUCAGGUCCCAAUUGCGCCUUUGGGGAAUACUUCAACAAGAUGGGUCUUUGCUUGUGUUCUUGAGAGUUUUCAAGAUGAAAAAACUAAGGUUGUGUCUAUUGAACAUAACCUUUAUGAAUAAUAGACACAACCUUCGAGGCCAUGUUGACACCCAAUUUUGGACCUCCAUAAUAUAGAUUAAUCAUCGAACUUCUUAAAUUUCAAACGAUUUGAAAUAAUUGACUUUAUAAAAUUUAAAAUAUUUUUCAACUCAUUUUAAGUAAUUUUGUAAUUUUUAUAGUUUUUUUUUUAAAAUUAAUUUAUAUAGUCUAUAAAAUUUUGAAUAUAUUUAUUAUAUUUUAUAAAUAUUCGAAAAUCAUCUCAAAAAGAUUUUGUUUUAUUUAAAUAUCUUACUAAUUAGUUUAGUUAUAUAAUAAUUUACAUUUUUGAAUUAAUUAGUUUAUAAUUAAGUCGAUUAUUUUAUUUCGUUAAGAUUAAGAAGUUCAUUAAUUAAUCAUAUUAAUUUGUCACAGCUAAUUAUUAGCCGAAUUUGUCAAUUUUACUUAAUUUGGUUAUUUCUUAGACUCCAAGAUAUAACCUUUUUCACCUUGCCUCAAACCCAUUUUUGGACCCAUUUUGGGCCUAUUAAAAACAGGCCCAUUAUUCAGCAACCCAAUGCCAUUUCCUCAUAUUAGCAGCCCAUUUCCCUUAAUUCUUCAACAAUAACCCAAUCCCAAUCCAUUACAUACAACAACAAAUACAUUACAACACCAAAUACCUGACCGACCCCACACUUCUCCUCCACCAGAAACACUGCAACCCAGCAGCGAAAAUUGCUGAAGUCCAGCAAUUUCAGCAGCUCAGAAUCACGAGCAUCGCGACCCGAGUCCAGCAACGAAGCAAUCCAACGUGUCCCCAUCUUGACGCCUCAUUCGCCCUUAUUUCAAAUCAAGCGCCUCAAAUCGUUGUUCCGUUGAGGAAUUGUACGAUUUUCGUACAGAAAUUCAAGCUGGCUGCCUUAUCCUCAAGAUUUUUGAAUUUCGAAUUUUGAAUCCAUUCCGUUUUCCCCCUCAACCGAACCCUAUUUUCCCCUAUAAAUACCCCUUCUUCUUAUUUGUUUGGGGGUUGGAAAAAGGUUGGAAAAAAGGGGGUUGACGUUUUUCUUUCUAGAAAAAGUUUAGUUUUGCAAAGUAAAGAGGCGGGGAAUAGAUAUAGAAAUCGGAAAGAAUCACACUUGAGAACGGAGAGUAAGAUCAAUUUUUGGAUUCGGUUACACUCUCUUACUCUAUUCAUCGUUCUUCCAAGUUUGUGUAAGCUUGAAGUCGUUGGUAGGAGUGCAUUCUAGUUCGUUUGUCUCAGUUCGCUGCACCGAACAAGGUAAACAACUCGUAAUCCCUUUGUUUAUUUUGAGUUCAUUGUGUUGGUUUGAUAAGUAGCUCUUUGUGGAUUCUAAGAUGAGCUUGGGUGAUGUGUUCGAUCUGUAGUAUUCUCUUCAUCUUAUUUUUACUAAAAUGUUCUUAUGUAUUCGUUUUCUUGAUGAUUUAACAUUGGUGUAAGCUCACAUCGUUGGCUUUGUUCUUUUCGAAUUCAUUGUUGUUAUACUCACCCUAAGUUUGUAUGGCCUGUUUGAUUGACCUCGUUGACAUUGCUCCGUUCGUGUUUGUCAAAUAAUACUCAUUGUUUGUUUCAUGUUUUGAAAGUGUCGAAGGGUUUUGCCUUACUGUUCUUGAGCUAAUUUUCAAGUUUAAGUCACUAUAUUGCCCAAAUCAGUGAAGUGUGGUUUGACCAUGGCUGUUUUUGUGACAUAAAUGAUCCUUACAUUUAGUAUAUUUUUUUUAUAUAGUAUUUUAUUCAAUUUUGUCUACUGUCCUUAGUUGCUGUCCAUGUCUAGUUAAUUUAAGAAUAUUAUGUUUAGGAAAUGUGUGUGUAGUUCCAUUUGUUUGGGAGUAAAACAAAUAGGCAUAAUACAUAUAUUGGCCCCUAAACUUGGCUUCAAAUUUUAACUUUGACCUCCAACUUUCAUAAUGCACAAAUAGGCACUUUAACUAUCAUACCUUUAAAUAAAUAAACACGCGAUUUUUGGAGCCAAAAGCGUGAAAUGCAAACGCUGCCACGUGUAUUAGUGACCCACUCAAUGGCUGCCAACUAUUCAAUGCAUGUGGGCCCGUUUUCCUGUCUAUUUGACACCUUUUCAAAUAAUUUCUCUUUAUUUUUGCCUCACAACUUCUUCCUUCACUUUCAUUUUGUGGUAAAUUAAUAUUUGAAAAUGUCAAUUAUUCAAUUUAUAAUUUAUUUGUCUUAUUUCUUUUUUUAAUUUAUGUGUAUUCAAAGAUUACAUUUAAGAUACUAUAAAUUAUUAGACUUAAUAUUUAAAAAAAUUUAUUACAAAUUUGAAAAUUACGUAAUAUACACUAUUAAUUACAAUAAUUACUAAUUUAAAAUAUUUUUUCAAUCUAAUAAGAGCCUACAAACACACUAUACGUUAUAUUUAAAAGUACUAUAAAUCAUAAUUAAAAUAUAUUUUUUUUAGAAAAUUUUUUGUUGACUCUUGAAAUUCUAUUGGUGACACAUGAAUUUGAAUAGAUGGAACAAUAUAUAUUAUUGAAAGUUAACAAUACUAUAAGUUAUUCGAAAAUGACGUUAAUGAUUUUUAUAAAUUAUAACAAAUUAGCAACUAAAAUAUUUUUGAAAAAACAUACAAAAAAUUAGUUGAUGAAUCAGCCACCACACCGUGGACAUGUAUGCUUUUUGUGAUUAAAAUUGAGUUUAAGGGUUAUUUUGGUCAUUUAAGGAUUUUUCUUUAAACUUCAAGCUUUAUUAAUAGUGAUGUAUUCAUUUUAGAGUUAACAUGAACGUUUACUACCAUAUAAAUAUAUAUAAUUUAUUCAAAUUUAAAAUUUAAAACUAUUUAUUUAACGUCAAUUAAAAAUUAACUUUUCAAUUAAUUAUUAGCACGGGCUCUUCAUCAAUAGUAUAUAAUAUAAUAAGCGGGAAUAGAGAGGACCUUGGGGUCGACACGUGUUCCUUUUUCCUUCUGGACAAAAAAAGACUAUACAGGCAGGAGGUCAACCUGUAAAGAAAAAGGGGGACCCAUAUUUUACUAUUGAAGGAUGUGUGUUUCUUUUAAAUUUCUUUUACCAUACUAAAUAAUUGUAUAAAAUAUUAUAAAUCACGACAAUUAAUUACUUAAAUAUUUAAAAGAUAUAAAAAUAUAUAAAAGAUUUGAUUGACUUUUCAAAUUUUACCGGUGACGCAUAAAUUUGGACAAAUGAAAUAAUAUAUAUUAUUUGAAAAUUUCUUAGAAAGUACUAUAAAUUACAGUAAUUAACAACUAGAAAUAUUUCAAAGACAAAAAAAUUGAUUGAAUCUCAAAAAAAAAAAUUAGUACUACACGUGUUCCUUUUUCCUUCUUGCCAAAAAAAAACUUCAUUAUAAUUUUUUUUUGUAAUAACAAAAUUUUUUAUUAAAUGUCACUUGCAUUUCGUAGUAAACAACAAAUAAUGCAAAAAAGAGGGGUAACAUUGUUAGAAAAAAAUAUAAAAAGGGUUUAAUUGUCCUUUCAAUGCUUUUUUUACUGUUGACCCCCUGAAUUUUUACAUCUAACGCGCCUAAUUUGAGUGUAUUUCACGCAUUUUGCCAGGUAGGAUCCGAGUGUUUUUUUGUUUAAGUUUUGGAUAGUUAAAGUGCCUAUUUGUGCACUUACAAAGUUAAAGGUCAAAAUUAAAAUUUGAAGCCAAGUUUAGGGGUCAAUAUAUGUAUUAUGCCAAACAAAUAUGAAUGAUCCUUUGCAUCCAAAUGAGUUUCUUAUGGGAUGAGACUGCCUGACAUCCCUGUUGCUAUUGAUUUUCCUUUGAUUAAGUUGAAGCCUUGGUCUUGUUUCCGGUAUGAGCUUGAAGUCCGGAUUAAUGGUUGUGCCUGUUUUGAUACUAAUUUCAUAGGACCAUAAGAUAUUUCUACUUUAUUUUGUGUUAUGUCGCUUAAAAGUUUUACCUACUAAGUCAUUUCCUUCUUCUUUUGUUGUGAAAUCCACCGGAGUUCAUCACGAACUCCCUCUCCUUGCAUCUUCUCUUUGGUUCGGCCCAAUGCUUCCCCUUACCGGAUCUGCAAAGCUGGUGUAUAGGUUGAAAGCAGCAAGAUACGGGCUGGAAAUUGAGUUUUCAUAUUUCGGAAACUUGAAAUUAAUCCGAAAUACAGCUUGUAUACAGUGGUAUACGUCAAAUAUGUGACCAAAAACAAAGAUACAGGUUGGAAGCGUCAAAACAAACUGUAUACAGUUGGUAUAUGGGUUGAUAUAUAGGAAAAAGGGCUAAGAAACGACCGAUAUACACUCGUAUACAACAACUGUAUACCAAAAAGGGGAUUGAGCCAAAAGCCCAAAUCAGCAAAGAGUUUGGCCCCAAAAAAGGGAGCCCAAAUUCAUUUCCCCUUUGCCUUUAAAUUAUUUAAUUAUCUUUAUUUAUUGUUUUGUUUUCUUAUCAUUAACUCUAACUUUAGAAUUGUUAAUUAGCUUAAUUAAAUUCCCCAAAAGAUGAGUUAUUCUUUGUGUUGGUUUAAUUUUAAUACAUUUUUUUUGUGUAUUUAUUUUAUUAAUCUCAAAAUUUUAUAUUUUCAAUUAAGUUAAACCUUUUGUUCUUUAAAAGAGAGGUUCUUUAAUGCUUUUCACUUGAUCACAUUUUAUUCAUUUUAAAAUUAUUUUUAAGUUAAAGUAUUUUUUCUCAAAUAAAAUUUUAAAAAAUGUUAGUCCAAACCUUUUUUCAAUUAAUAAAAAAAAAAUAUAAAUACUUACUUAGUCAUUUUCUCAAAAGGUUAGUCAAAACUUUAUUUCUUCAAUUAAUUAAAAAAUGAUUUUUCGUUCUUUAAUGUAUUAAAUUGAUUUAAAUUAUUAUUUCAAAAAUGAAUUAAAUAAAUUCUAAUUAAUCUACUUUUAUUAAUAUUCUAAUCACUUAUAUUUUGAGUCAAAUGUUUCAUUUUUGGGUCCCUUUCUCUAAAAAAUAAAAAAAUGUGUCAUUUAUUUAACUAUUUUUUCUCAAGUUAACCAAAUAUCGUACAUAUUAUUCUUAAGUUAAAUCAUUUUUCUAAAAAAUAGUCAAAAUAUAUUUUAGUCAAGUCGCAGGUCAACCGCAUGUUAGCGGACACUUCGAAUGCUUAAAUCCUUAUCGAAGUGUAAAUUGAACCCCGAACCCUCUUUGAUAUUUUCAAGUGAUUUUUUCUGUGUAAAUCUUUAAAAAUUAUAAGUUUUCUUAAUUUCUUUAAAAAAUUAAGUGGUGACUCUUUUCUAAGUAUUUUUCUCAAAUUGUUUUAUACUUAGAACAUUUCAAAAACGUGAUUUUUCUAAAGAUAGAAAAAUUACAACACAACAGGCCAUACCAUUGGCCGAGGUUUCUAUCACAGUUGGAGACUGUGCACCAACCAAUUGUACUUUUUACAGCGUGGCAUUUGUGUGUACAUUGACACAAGGAUCAUGUCCCUUUACAAGGUCUCAUGGUUUGUCAAAUCAUCAAAACUGCAAAUAACACCGUUUUUAGAUUAAGUUAAAGCAUAUAGUAAGUGAUGUGACUAUUCUUUUUAGCCAAAAAUUCUUACUCUCUAACUCUGUGUUUCAUUUUAUAUGACAUCUUUUUUUUAAAAUCAAUUUCCAAAAAAAUAUCAUCUUAUUAUAACAAAAAAAAAAAAAAAUUAACUUUAAAAGUUUCUUUUUUUAUCUUUGCCUUAAUGAAAUCAUUUUCAGUUACACAAAUAUUUAAGAAUUGUUUAGACCACAAAUUUCAAAAUAAAAAAAUUGUAGAAAAACGUGUCAAAAAACAAGGGGUGCUAUAUAAGAUAUGCAUUCUCCCCAUAUCUCUUAUCUAUCUAAUAUAUAAUAUACUACUAUAUAAUAUAAUAAUCAUUUCAUCUCCGCGAAUCUCUUGAUCUAUCUGAUAUAGGUAAUCAUUUCAUCUCGCGAGUAAUAUUCAUCUAUUUCUCUGGCGAUAUCCACUUGUAAGUUCUUCUUACUUAAUUAUUAUUGUCUUGCUCUAGAUCUCUUCAUCUCACUUUAGGGGUUUGUAAAUUUAAUUUUCAAUUUCAACUCGUUUUAAAACUUUUUAUGUACAUUUACUCGAUUGAACUAGGUAGAAGAUUGAAAUGGAUGAGAGAAAAGCUGGUAUUAAGGGACUAGUUGACUCUGUAAUAGUUGCUGAGGAGUUGAAUAUGUGUAAGUCAACUCUACAGGUUCCAGUAGUGGAUCUAAGUGGCAUAGAAGUUGAAGAUGGGCGUAAGAAGAUUGUUGAUGAAAUAAGGGAAGCAUCUGAGAAAUGGGGAAUUUUCCAAGUGAUAAAUCAUGGGAUUCCUUCAAGUGUUUUGGAAGGAAUAAUUGAUGGGACUCGUAAAUUUCAUGAACAAGAUGUUGAAGUGAAGAAUCAGUACUACACGUCUGAUCCAACAGCAAGACGAGUUAGAUAUGAGAGCAAUCUUCAUCUGUACAAAACAAAAGGAAAGACAGCAAACUCGAAAGAUUCAUUACACAUCCCGUGGCAAGAUUCUGGUGACAAUGAACCUGAAGAAAUACCACCAGUUUGCAGGUAACUCUGUAUCUGUCCUGUUUGCUGUGUGUGUGUUGUAUAUAUUGAAGUUUUUGCAUUAAAUCUAACCUCUCAUCUUUUCCUAAUAUCCAGAAAACCAUCCGUUGAGUACAUAAAUCAUGUCAUAAAACUUCAACACAUUCUUCUUGGCUUACUAUCAGAAGCUCUCGGGCUAAAUCCAAACCACUUGAAAGCUAUCGGAUGUGACAAAGGACCAGGGUUGGUAUGCAAUUACUACCCGGCAUGCCCACUGCCAGAGCUAACUCUUGGUAAGCAUACAGAUCCUGUUUUCCUUACCAUUCUGCUUCAAGAUCAGAAUGGUGGGCUCCAAGUCAUGUGUGAUAACCAAUGGGCCGAUGUUACACCGAUUGAACAUGGUUUAGUUGUUAACAGAGGCGAAUCCAGGAUUUUAAGAAAACGGGUGCACCAUUGCUUUAAAAAUAAUAUCAAAAAAAUUAUAAUAACAAUAACUAAGCGAGCAAUACAUAAAAAUUACAUUACCACAAAAAAUAUCAUCAGUUUACAAUUGUACUCGACGAGACUUCAUAUUUUGAAAAUGAUCUAUAAUAGCAUCAUUACUUACAUUUUCAAAUAUCUUCCGCUCUAUCUUACAAACUAAACAUCCAUUCAAAAAUUCUUCACCAAUGCUAUUCAACUUAGUCACAAAUUUAACUAGCAAAUUUAAAAUAAAUAAGAGAAUCGCAUAUCUUUCACAAUAAAAAAUAAGGGAAUCACACCCUUGCAAGUUCAAAUAAAAUAGAGGAAUCACAAUCCUUGCAAAUCUAACUAAAAUAGAGGAAUCACACCCCUUUCACAUUUAACAAUAAGAAAAUCACACAUUCAUAAUAAAAAGAGGACUUAUGCCUCUUUUGCAUUCGAAAUCACAUAUUCAUAGAAAGAAGAGGAAUCACACCCCUUUCACAUUUAACAAUAAGAAAAUCACACAUUCAUAAUAAAAAGAGGACUUAUGCCUCUUUUGCAUUCGAAAUCACAUAUUCAUAGAAAGAAGAGGAAUCACACCCCUUUCACAUUUAACAAUAAGAAAAUCACACAUUCAUAAUAAAAAGAGGACUUAUGCCUCUUUUGCAUUCGAAAUCACAUAUUCAUAGAAAGAAGAGGAAUCACACCCCUUUCACAUUUAAAAAAAUAAGGGAAUCACACCCCUUUCACAUUAAAAAAAAAGGAAUCACACCCUUCAAAAUUGAUAAUAUAAUAUGAAACACAUUCCUUACAAGUUACAUCCGCAAAAUAUGUAAGUUUGAGAUAAUCAAUUCUUUAGCUAUUGAUGAUUUCCUAUUAUAAGUAAUGACAAGAUUUUUUUAUAUGAAAACCCUAAAAUUAAAGUGAUAUAUACAUAUAUAUAUAAAAUUGUUAGGUACCUCUGAGUAUGAGUUUGAGCGAGUAGUAACUUCUCCCGUCUAGGAAAAGUAUUUUCUAUUAUGUUGUGAGUAUUGUAAGUAAAUAUGGUGUGUAUGUAAAAAUUAUAAUAUGAAAUAAACAGUUUGUUUUAUACCUCUCUUCUUAAAACUCCAUUUAUAGUCAUAAGUGAAGGUUGCGAUCUUCAGCUUUAAGGAGGAACAGUAACGAAGUAGCCAAGAGACUGAGGUCGUUAGGGCGAAACACUGUUCAUGGCCUGAAGGGAGAACUACUGCGGUAGUGAUAAAGACUAUUCAUCGACAUAAGAGAAGGAAGGUAUACACGCGAACUUUUAUUACAUAUUAUGAAUUCUUACUAACAUACUAUAUAUGCUUAUAUUUUACUUAGACAUAAGAAAAAAUAUUUAGUACCUAUAGGGAAUUAAAAAUAUUGAAUAUUUCAUGUUUAAUAUCAAUUAUGCUAUUUGCAUAUCAUGCCGAAAGGUAAAUAAUGCUAUAUAUCAUGAUAGAACUAUAUCCAUGCUAUUUGCAUAUCAGAUCUUAAAUUCAUGUUAAAAUGAAAAAUAUUCAACAAUCUUUACAUAGCGUAAGAAAAAGAGCUUGGAAGUAUAAAAAAGCUUUAUUUCAUAUGGAUAGAGCAAUUUCUGAAAUGGAACAAGUAUACAUGCAUACUAGUCAUCACUAUGAUGCAUUAAUAUUUUCAAUACAUGAAAUGAAGAUGUAUAGAAUACAAGAAUAUUUUGAGUAUAAAAAUGCAUUAUCUAUCUUAAAAAAUUAUACAAUAUUUACUGCAUAAACAGUAAUAAAAAUUCCGCAACCCUGUUUUAAAACAGCCCGAAAUAUUGGUAUCAGAGCCAAGAGAUAUAAUCUAAGUAUGGACACAGACUUUACAACUAUAAAACCAAUUUGGUAUAUAGAUGUAGAUAUACUUGUAACAAUUUUACAAGCAAUAAAAGAUUUAGAUAAGGAUCUAAAAAGAAAAAUAAUAAGAAUAAUAACCUUAAGAAAUAAAAAACAAGAAGAAAGAUAUAAUAUAAUAAAUUAUAAUUUCUUUGAUACCUCUGACUAUUACUUUUCAGAAUAAGAUGAGUUUAAGAGAAAUCUCAGAUUUACUAAAAGAUCUUGUUGAAAGUAAUAAACAAUUAACCUUACGGUUAAAAAUGAUAGAAAUUAAAAUCAAUUAUAUCAAAGAAAAUCUUCCAGGAAGAAUUACAAAAAUAAUAGAAAAAACAGAACAAUUUGACAAAAAGGUAAGUCAAAAAUAUAUUAAAGAAUUAUUAUCAAAAAAAUUAGCAAGUGGAAAUACUUAUCAAAAAGGAAGUAUGGAUGAAAUAUUAAUCCAAAGAUUCCUAGAAAAACAAAAAAUAGAAGAAGAAAAUUUUCCAGAAAUAACCGAAAAUAAUUCCGAAUCAAAAGAACAAAAGGAUGAAUGAACUAGAUGAACUAGUUUAUGCAAUGGAAGACUUAAGUCUUUCAGAAUUAAAAGUAUUCAUAAAUAAAGGGGAAACAGGUGGACUCCAAGGAAAAUUUGAAGCAUCUACUUCAAUGAAAGAAGAAUGGCAAGAGCCAGAAAAAGAUGAAAAGAACUUUGCAAAUAAAGCAAAGAAAGAAAACGAUUUCAUAAAACAUUAUCAUAACAAUGAUAAAACAAGAUUUAUGCCUAAUAGACUCCCAACUGGAGAUAUUUGAGCCCAAUUUCUAGAUCUCGAAUGUAAAAGAGAUCCAGAAGAUAGCCUAGACCUAUGGUCUCAAAACAUGCUCCUUUAUUUCCUUUUAGGAAAAGGAAAUUAUACAGAUGAAGAAAAAUAUAUCAUUAUGAUAAAUACAUUCAUGGGAAAAGUACAUGACUGGUUUUCAGGAUUAACUGAAGAUGCAGAAAAAAUAAUUAAAAAUGAUACCUUAGAAGGACUAAAAAGUUCGGUCCAAGAAGGUAUAAUAAAUUUAAAGCUAUAUAUCGCUAAUGAAUUCUUUGGAGGAAAAGGAAAUGAAAGAGACAAUAAAGAGUUUGCAAGAACUAUUGCAAAAGAACAAUUAGAAAAAUUACAAAUUUGUAAAAUGAGUUAUAUUCAAGAAUACACUUGUGAAUUCGAAGAAUAUUACUACAAAAUAUUUGAUAGCGGUAAGGAAAUGAUACCUUAUCUAGAAAAAUACUAUCAAAAAUUACCAGGCUUCUGGGCAAAAUACUUCAGAGAAGAAUACGAAAAGGAAGAGAAAAAAGGGGAUACUCUUGGUCAAAGAAUUAGUUUCUUAAAAAAUAGACUUAGUCAAUUAUGUAUGUCUCAUAACAUACAAAGAAAGGCUAAAAGGAUUAAUACACAGAUCUAUUGUAAUGAUACAAAGGCAUCUACUAAAUGGGGAUGUGAUGAAAAACCAUACAAAAAAAGAAAACAACUCAAAAAGGGUUUAAUAAAAAGAAAAAACUUCUCUAAACAGAAGUAUAUACCUAGAAAAAAUACUAUAAAAAGAAAAGAGAAUUUUCUAAAAAACCCACUGAUAAAUGCAAAUGCUACAAUUGUGGUGAAGAAGGUCACAAAAGCUACGAGUGUAAUAAAAGGAGAGUAAAAAUCUAAAAAAUUGAUAGAAUAGAUAUUGAUUCAGAUCUUGAAUCAAUAAAAUCUAUGGAAAGUGAAGAAAUUUUCGAAGAAGUCUAUGAAGAAUAUUCUAGCAGUUCAGAAGAAUCUGACUAAAUGAAUAAAGAAAUUCAAGAAAAGGAAUCUGCUUAAAUAUUAGAAACAGAAGAAGACCAUCGAGGUUAUGCUUUAAAAGCAACUUUUGAUGGAGAAACAUUCAGAAAAAUCCAAGGAUUAAAAUUAAAUCUUAAAGUAGAAGAUAAUCUACUAAGCAGAAUGCAAAGAAUGUUCGCAAGAGAUAAAAUCUCCUAUCAUGAAUAUCAAGAAAUUGAAAAGGUAAUAGAAAUUACCAAAACGACAGGAAAACAUAAACUAAACCUAUUAACAAAACCUAUGAUAGAUCAAAUCCUCAGGAAAAUUCCUGAAAGAAAAAGAAAGAAAAUGAAUUAUGUUAAUUUAGGAGGAAUCCAAAUAUUAGUCAAAUCGACUUUUAAAGAAGGAAUCAAUUGUCCGAUAGUAAUAAAUCUAUCAGAUGAAAAGAUUCAUUAAUGCAAGAGAAGGAAAUCUUGGUAUAGUAGAGGGAAACCUAGCCUAUACAAAGCUCCUUUUUACCUAUUACCCAAAAUAUUGUAUUUCACUAAAAGAUGCUGAUUUUAAUGACGCAUUAAGCUUACAUUUUCAGAUCAAAAGAAAUGAUCUAUUUAAACCAGGUAAUCAUAUAAUGAGCAUAUAUUACCAAGCAUUGUACACCGUUACAAAUUCAAACUAUGGUAAAAUAUACAAAAAUAAAGGAAUGAUUGAAAUAGAUCAAGAAUGUGCAGGAAUUGCAAGAAUAGUUGAAGCAGAAAUUCAACAAGCACUAAUUCCAGAUGAAUAUGAAAUUCAAUUUAGAAAAACACAAGAAAUAGGGGAAACUAGUAAUCCUAGACUCUCAAUAGAAUAUGGAAGAAAUUCAAUUAGAAAAAGUAUAUCUAAUAGAUAUCCUCUAAAAAUUGAAACUCCAAAUAUAACAAAAGUAAAAGGAAUAAUCUUCAAUGGAACAGAAUGGAGACAUCAAGAAAUCUUAAUACAAACAGGAGCAACUGCUAAUCAUGUAAAAGGUAUCCUAAUAGAAGGAAUAACAAUCUAUGAAGGAGAACACUAUACAUAUAAAACCUUUGAAGGAAAUAAUUUUAGUUGUAAAAACAUGGUAGAUUUACCUAUACAACUAGAUACUAUAAGGAUAACAGUUCCUUGUUAUAUUACAAAUCACGAUGGUGAUCACGAAUUAAUUUUAGGAAAUCUAUUCCUAAAUAAACUUGAAGAUUAUAGCAUUGGGAAAAAAGGAAUAGAAAUGCUAUACAAAGGUGAAACUUGUUUCAUACCAAAGGUAAAUGCCUAAAGAAACAACUUUCAAAGUAUCUGUAUUCAUAGAAAUAACAUCCUAUGAUACAAAAUUAACAACAUGUUGUCAGAUAGACAAUGGAUCUGAAGCAAGUUCAGCAAAAUCUUUUUUAAUAAAAGAUUGGGACAUAAACAAAAAUAAUAUCUCUAUGAUUGGAAUCACAGGAGAUAAAGAAAAACUAAACAAAUCAAAAGAAAAGGUAGAAAUAAUUUUAGGAUAAAAAAUUGUUUCUAUAAAAAAAUUAUUUGCUUAUGAUAAACUAGAAACAGAUUUAUUAUUAGGAAAUGAUUUUUUACAACAAUUUCAAGACUAUCAUCAAACAUUAUAUAUGAUAACUCUAAAAACCCCUUGUGGACAUUUCAUCAAAGUCCCAAGAAAACAAAAUCCUUAUAAUCUUGAAAAAGAUAAUGGAAAUUACAAAAGAAAAUAUUUAGAAAAUCUAAGAAAGAUUACUUGUAAAUGUCUUAAUCUAGAAAAGAUUAAGGAAAAUCUACAAAAAUCUUAUGGAGAAAAUCCAUUAGAAAAAUGGGAACAAAACCAUGAAAGGGCAAUUUUAACUUUAAAAGACCCCAGUAUUAUCAUUAGAGUUAAACCUAUGCUCUACAAUGAAGACGAUAAAAUUGAAUUUAAAAUUCAAAUUAAAGAAUUACUCAACUUAAAAUUAAUAAGAAUGAGUAAAAGUCCUCAUAGUAGCCCAGCAUUUAUGGUAAGAAAUCAUGCCUGAAAUCAAAAGAGGAAAAGCUCGCAUGGUAAUAAACUAUAAAGAGCUGAACAAAAAUUGCAUAUUUGAUGGAUACUUUAUCCCAAAUAAAAAUAAUCUAAUUAACCUUGCAAAAGGAAAAACAUAUUUUUCAAAAUUCGACUGCAAAAGUGGAUUUUGGCAGAUAAAAUUAGCAGAAAACUCAAUACAGUUAACUGCUUUCAGCACUCCUAAUGAACAUUAUGAGUGGUUAGUCAUGCCUUUUGGACUAAAAAAUGCACCACAAAUAUUCCAAAGAAAAAUGGAUAAAAUAUUCUCUGAAAAAGAAUUUCUAAUAGUCUAUAUAGAUGACAUACUAAUAUGUUCAAAAACAUAUGAAGAACAUUUAAAACAUCUGAAAGAAUUUUCAGAAAUUUGCUUAAAAAAUGGAAUUGUGUUAAGUCAGAAAAAAGCUGACAUUAAUAAAAAUGAAAUAGGGUUCUUAGGAAUGAUUAUUUCAAAAAAUGGAAUUGAACUCCAAUCACACAUUUCAAAAGAGAUUGUAGAAUUUCCUGACAAAUUAACAACAAAACAAGAGAUUCAAAGAUUUCUAGGUUGUUUAAAUUAUGCAGGAGAAUUCAUUCCGGAUUUAGCUAAAAAACGGAAUAUACUACAAAAGUUAUUAAGGAAGUCCAAUAGAUUAGGAUGGACUGAAGAGCACACCCAGUGUGUAAAAAGCCUAAAAGAAGAAUGUGGUAAAUUGCCAAAACUUAGGCUACCAGAAGACAGUGAUAAUCUUGUCCUACAAACAGAUGCGUCUGACUAUCAUUGGGGAGCAUUAUUACAAACCGAUUUAAAUGAAAUAUGCAGGUACACUAGUGGUACAUUCAAUGAUGCAGAAACAAGGUAUUCUACAAAUGAAAAAGAAUUGCUAGCCAUUGUUAGAGGAAUUAGAAAAUUUUCUGCUUUUCUUCUACCAAAACAAUUUGUUAUUAGAUCUGAUAAUACUCAAGUAUCAGGACUGAUUUUUAACAAGCUUCCUUCUGAACCUCAAUACAGGAGAUUGCAUCGAUGGCAAGUACUAUUAUCUUUCUAUUCAUUUUCAAUAGAAUAUAUUAAAGGAAAUGACAAUUUUCUUGCAGAUUUCAUUUCUAGAAACGUGCAAUAUGGACAAUCAGACAAAAAUCCUGGUGAACAGGAUAUAUGAAAAAAUGAAGACAGUGGAUGAGUCCAUUGAUGAUAAAAGCCAAAAACUAUUCAAAAUCAGAGAUGAGCUAUCAAAGCUAUCUGAACAAUCUCGGAUGUUACAAUCUGAAAUAAAUCAGCUUAGUACUACUCAAGCUGAAAGCAUGAGAGAAUUUCUACUCUUAUGUGAACAUCUGGACACACGUCCAUUACAGAAUUCAAAUAUGAAAGGGAAUAUUAAUUCCAACAAAGUGGCAGGAGAUGUCCCACUAGCACCUAGUGCCAAAAACAUCUCGAUGGUAAGCACGAAUAUGCCAAUUUCCACAUCAAAAGAUGAGGAAAAAAGUCGAGCAAAUGAAGCAACAAGCUCAUCCUCAGCUACUGCUGAAAAAAUUAUAUCUGGAAAACCAGAGAGUAAAACUAAUCAAAGUCCUUCGGGAACAAAAGUUUUUUCUUCUUUUCAGGUUGGAAAACAACAUCCAAAAGAAGAAGAGUAUCUAUCUUUCACUAGAUACAUCUAUAAUCUUCCAGAAGAAAGCGGAGAAACUUAUGGUGUUUUAGGAACCACAAGCUUGUUUCCUAGAAUAUCAAUAUUUCCCAAUGGGAUACCGAAUUUUACGGCUCAAUUAUUCGAAUUUGGUUACUUGGAUCGAGUUUAUACUAAACCAGAUCUAAAGGAGUUGUCCAAAUUACCGUCCAAAUUGUUCGAGGCAAUAAAAAAUUUUGCUCAAGGCAAUGGAGUCUACUGCAGGUUUUUUAGCAUAUCUAUGGAAUGCCAGGAUCUGCAAGCAUAUUAUCCUACCCUCAACUAUAUUUCAGUUGAAAAAAUUAAAGAUUUUAACGUUAAGGCCACAGGAGUUGAUAAAAAGCUUCCUCACCUUAAUAAAAAAUGGAUUCAAACUAGAAGAGCGUUAGGAAUAAAAGCCCUAUACGCUAUUCUUACAAGACUUUAUAAAGAAGACUGUAGAGUCAUUGAUCAUAUAUAUAUAUAUGUAUAUAUGUAUAUUUAUUUAUUUAUUUAUCUUGUUAGUUUGUUUAUUAAAAAGAGAAAUCAUAAACUAAAAUGACCUUAAACUUUGACAAUGAUGAUUUCUCUAAAUUCUUGACUUGAAGUUGGAGACUUGAAGCUUCUUCUUUGUGUGGAAAAUAGAAAACAAAUUUGAAGAGGGAAAAAAAUAUUGUUGGAACUUGGAACUUGAAAAGUGUGUGGGAAGGAAACUUUUGAAGUCUUUUGACUUUUAAACUUUCAGAAUUUAGCUUUUUUCUUUCUUUUUUAAAUGAAAAAUGUGUUUUUAGUUAAUAAAAUAAAUUGAAGCGAAUUGGGGCUGCCUGGGAUCAAACCUGCGACCUGUGAGUUGAAAUCUUGCAGUGGUACCAGUGAACCAUCCAGCCAUUUUGAGAACGGGUUCAACUAAGUUUUAAUUUAAUAUAUUCUUUAAUAAUUAUAGAAGUAAUAUAUUGAGUUUGUCGGAUGACCACGGGUUCGGGUGACCCAAAAUUAGUACAUAAAUUCGCCCCUGGUUGUUAAUAUUGGUGACCUCCUUCAGGUAAUUUGCAACAAAACACAACUUUUUUUAUUUCAUUUUAUCACAAACUGUUACUCAAUCUGAUUUUGUAACAGAUCCUAUCAAAUGACAAGUUUGUAAGUGCAAUUCAUAGAGUUGUAGCGAAAAAUGUAGGACCAAGGAUUUCAGCGGCAACCUUCUUCACUGGAGGUUCUACACCUCCGAAGAUGCAUGGUCCAAUCAAAGAGCUCAUAUCAGAAGAAAAUCCCCCGCUAUAUAAAGAAUUUCAAAUACCUGAUUAUCUCACUAAGUUUUUCUCCAAGCCUCUUGAUAAGACUGGUCUUGAUCUUUUCAGACUCUGAAGACAGACGUUGCCUAGCACCAGCAAAAACCAUCAGAAAAGACUAUCAUCAUUCAGUUGUAGAUCAAAAUUUGCGAUUCGUACUACAAUAAUGUUGUCUAACAAUGUCUUUCAUAUUCUGUUGUUUAAUGUUGAAUAACUUUCUAUGGAAAUAAUCCAUAAUUUAAUGACCAUCUCAAAUUCGAGGACUUCUGUAAUUUAGCUUCAAGUAGUUGCGCAAUUAUGGGCUAAUUGAAUUAUAUAUGUUUUUUUCAUUUCAUCUUCAUAAUCAUGUUGGAUAAUACUAUUCAUUUUUCUGAUAAAGUUAACCAUUCCGUAAGUGAUGUGACACCUUUUUUUAGCCAAAAAUUCAAAUUCUUCGUUUUAUUUUAUAUUACACUUUUUUUUGUUUGUUCCGAAAAAGAUUAUCACUUUAUUAUAAUUAAAACUAAUUUAACUUUAAAAUUCCGCUAGCCUUAAUGAAAUAAUUUUCAGUCAUACAAAUAUUUAAGAAUUAUUUUAGACCACAAGUAUAAAAGUUUUGUUUUUUUUUUAUAAACACCGAGUCAAACUAAAGGAUGUCACAUAAAAUGGAAUGGAGAGAAUAUUCUUGUCUUUUUCCCGUUAUUUCUACUAAAGCCAAACAAAGGACGAUUAAUGACAUUUUAACCAUUUUCAUUAUUUAUAUUAGGGCAACUGUGUCAUAUUAUAACCUUGCUUUUUUUUUAAUCCAUUCAUCUCCACAUAUUUCUUAUCUAUCUAAUUAAUAAAAAUAAAAAUCAUAUCCUAUAAAAAUUAUAUCUUCAGAAUAGCAGUUUAUCUUCAUUAGAGGUCACUGCCUCAGUAUAGCAAUUUAUCUUCAUUUCUUAUUGAUCAUAUUUGGAUACGUGUUGCCAGUGGCGCAUCUGGAGUAUAUAUUAAGAAAUUCCUAGAGAUGUUAUGGUCACCCAGUCCUCCCUCAAGUAGUGAUACUACAUUAUGAAAUCAUUAUGAAAAAAUUGAAUUGAUAAUUUAACAUUAAUCAAAGAGGUUAAUUUUAAUAUAAUUAUUCAAUAUCAUAUUUAAGGGAUUUGUGUAUCUGAUUAAAUAUUUUAAAAUAUAUUGUAUAAAUAUUAAAAGUGGUAUUUUGUGUAAAUUUUUUAAAAUUAGAGGUAAAUUAAGUAUAUGUGGUAAUAAAGUAUGUCUAAUUAGAUAGUUUUUCCUUAUUUAAUAUCCAUAUAUGUGAUAAAGACUGUGGGCUCCGAACACCGACUGGGAAACCAAAAAAAAAAAGUCUACAAAAAUCAUCAACAGGCUGGAGAAAUCUUUGAUUGGACCAGAAAGUCUUUGAUUGGACCAUACAUCUUUGGAGGUCCUUGGCCCUACCUUAUUUGCUGUAACUCUAUGAAUUGCACUUACAAACUUGUUAUUUGAUAAGAUGUGUUACAAAAUGAGUAACAAUUUAUAAGAAAUGAUAACAAAAUGUAGAGAUGAGUAGCUUUUGUUGCCAACCUGAAGAAGGUCACCAAGAAGCUAAGCUCAUAUCAGAAGAAAAUUCCCCACUAUAUAAAGACUUUCAAGUAUUGAUUAUUUGUUUGAUAAAACUGGUCACCAAGCAGCAGCAAAAAGGGAUAAGUAUCAAUCAAAUAAUGUUAUCCCCUUCUAUCUUAUUGUAGAUGGAAUGGAGAGACUACUUUUUUCUUUAUUUAAAAUAAGUUAAUUUUGAACGGAUAUCAAAAUAAGUGAAGAAAAAUCAAAUAAAACAUAAAAAUAUUAAAAUUAAAGGACACUUUUAAAUUGUUUUUUUAAAAAAAAAAUACACAUGAUUUAUUAAAAAUAAUUAAAAGUGAAAAGAUAAUAAAUUAAUUAAAUAAAGUUUCAAGUGAAAAGAAAUUAAAAUAAAUAUUGAAUUAUUUAUGAGAGACUAUGUAUUUCUUGAAUUAUUUUGAAUUUGAG
rnacentral:lncRNA from 1 species